UGGGGAAUAUUGCACAAUGGGCGCAAGCCUGAUGCAGCAACGCCGCGUGAGGGACGACGGCCUUCGGGUUGUAAACCUCUUUUGGCAGGGAAGAAGCGAAAGUGACGGUACCUGCAGAAAAAGCACCGGCUAACUACGUGCCAGCAGCCGCGGUGAUACGUAGGGUGCAAGCGUCGUCCGGAAUUAUUGGGCGUAAAGAGCUCGUAGGCGGUUUGUCGCGUCUGCUGUGAAAACCCGAGGCUCAACCUCGGGCCUGCAGUGGGUACGGGCAAACUAGAGUGCGGUAGGGGAGAUUGGAAUUCCUGGUGUAGCGGUGGAAUGCGCAGAUAUCAGGAGGAACACCGAUGGCGAAGGCAGAUCUCUGGGCCGUAACUGACGCUGAGGAGCGAAAGCAUGGGGAGCGAACA
rnacentral:rRNA from 1 species